GGGGGUGUCCUGGCUUCGACGGGGGCAGUGAGAUGACUUGGUGCAUGCCGAGGGGGCAGCUUUCCUCGUUAAUCCAGCAGCAAACUCAUAGUU
rnacentral:tmRNA from 1 species